rnacentral:lncRNA from 1 species
GAAUUAUGAUAGUUUAUUUUUCCAUUAAGUUUCAACGAUCAAGAUGUGAUUCAUUAUGUAUAUUUCUAAGUUGCUCAUAUAAUUACAGAGAGAAACAAUACAUAUAAAAAUGAAAACAUAAUUUUAGUCAUAGGAGAAAAGCUUAACCUUUAUGCACGUUAGCUCCAGUGACACGUGACACACAAGAGACAAAUACACUAGGUAAGACUCAUAUAUCUAGGAAAGUUCUCCACAUCCAGAAAUAAUACAUAAUUGUAUCUGAAAGGAUUUUCUAGGAUCUUUUAAUCUAGGAUUUUCUGAGGAUGACUAAAAGAUUUGUUGAGAAUGAUUGAAACCUCUAGCAGAAUUAGAACUAUAAAUUUUACUACACAUUAAAUUAAGCACUAGUAAAUAUAUGUGUUCAUACAUAGAUAAUAUUUUGAUAUGAGAUUUCUUUUUUCUCACUUCCCUGUGUGUGGCUGAUCCCCGACUGGAUCAGUAUAGAUUGCUUUUAGACGGUAUAACAGAGAGGCAAAGAGUGUGGACUCUGGGUGCGUGCUGUCUGCCUUCAGUUCCCGGUUUCACCACGAACUGUGCAGUCUUGGUAAGGAUGAGAUCCAGAGAGAUCCUUGUUGGAGAUUCGGAGGCAGGAAGUGAAGGAGCAGCCAUUUUGUCUCUCACAUGUGUCACAGACUUGCUGUCUCAUCUCAUUGGUGUGAAGCAGUAGGGAGGCUGGCAACACUCCACCUUCUUCCAGAUCUUUCUUCAGCUUCUCUGAUACCUGGGGCACAUGUGUGUGCUUAGCUCCAUGAAGAAGGGCCCCAACCUCUGUAGGACACCCAUAUCACCAAGGUCACACAGUUUUGUAAGCCAGGAAUUUGGGAAAAGUCCAGCUGGUGGCUGUGGCUGCAGUUAUUUUCAGGCUUGACUGGUCUGGGCAUCCAACAUCACUC